rnacentral:rRNA from 1 species
ACAGGGAGACGAGGUGGUGGCAUGGUUGUCGUCAGCUCGUGUCGUGAGAUGUUGGUUAAGUCCGCAACGAGCGCAACCCCUACGUUUAGUUGCUAACGCGUGAAGGCGAGCACUCUAGACGAACUGCCGUUGACAAAACGGAGGAAGGUGGGGAUGACGUCAAAUCAUCAUGCCCCUUAUGUUCUGGGCUACACACGUGCUACAAUGGCCGGUACAGACGGACGCAAAGCCGCGAGGUGGAGCAAAUCCUAAAAAGCCGGUCUCAGUUCGGAUUGCAGGCUGCAAUUCGCCUGCAUGAAGUCGGAAUCGCUAGUAAUCGCAGGUCAGCAUACUGCGGUGAAUACGUUCCCGGGCCUU